rnacentral:lncRNA from 1 species
GAAUCCUGAAUUGUUUACUUGAAUUCUGAAUUGCCUACCUGAACUCUAACUUAUCAACGUGAAUGCUAGAUUCGGAAUUGAGAAAUUAGAAUUUAGAGUUGCGUCAAACUAUUUUCUGUGUAUAAACGUUCCGAAUUCAGAAAUCUGAUUUGAAUCACAAUAAGUCUUUUGAUCCAUAUGAAAGGUUCGAAUUCAAAAUGCUGAAUUCUGGCAGCAGUGUUCCAGAAUUCUAAAUUAUGGAUUCUCAAAGGUUAGAAUUACA